AAUGAACGCUGGCGGCAGGCCUAACACAUGCAAGUCGAACGGAUCCUUCGGGGUUAGUGGCGGACGGGUGAGUAACGCGUGGGAACAUACCCAAAGGUACGGAAUAGCCUCGGGAAACUGGGAGUAAUACCGUAUGUGCUCGAAAGAGGAAAGAUUUAUAGCCUUUGGAUUGGCCCGCGUUGGAUUAGGUAGUUGGUGGGGUAAUGGCCUACCAAGCAGACGAUCCAUAGCUGGUUGGUGAGGAUGAUCAGCCACGCUGGGACUGAGAAACAGCCCAGACUCCUACGGGAGGGAGCAGUGGGGAAUCUUAGACAAUGGGGGAAACCCUGAUCUAGCCCUGCCGCGUGAUCGAUGAAGGCCUUAGGGUUGUAAAGAUCUUUCAGGUGGGAAGAUAAUGACUGUACCACCAGAAGAAGCCCCGGCUAACUCCGUGCCAGCCGCCGCAGUAA
rnacentral:rRNA from 1 species